AGAGUUUGAUCCUGGCUCAGGAUGAACGCUGGCGGCGUGCCUAAUACAUGCAAGUCGAGCGAACGGACGAGAAGCUUGCUUCUCUGAUGUUAGCGGCGGACGGGUGAGUAACACGUGGAUAACCUACCUAUAAGACUGGGAUAACUUCGGGAAACCGGAGCUAAUACCGGAUAAUAUUUUGAACCGCAUGGUUCAAAAGUGAAAGACGGUCUUGCUGUCACUUAUAGAUGGAUCCGCGCUGCAUUAGCUAGUUGGUAAGGUAACGGCUUACCAAGGCAACGAUGCAUAGCCGACCUGAGAGGGUGAUCGGCCACACUGGAACUGAGACACGGUCCAGACUCCUACGGGAGGCAGCAGUAGGGAAUCUUCCGCAAUGGGCGAAAGCCUGACGGAGCAACGCCGCGUGAGUGAUGAAGGUCUUCGGAUCGUAAAACUCUGUUAUUAGGGAAGAACAUAUGUGUAAGUAACUGUGCACAUCUUGACGGUACCUAAUCAGAAAGCCACGGCUAACUACGUGCCAGCAGCCGCGGUAAUACGUAGGUGGCAAGCGUUAUCCGGAAUUAUUGGGCGUAAAGCGCGCGUAGGCGGUUUUUUAAGUCUGAUGUGAAAGCCCACGGCUCAACCGUGGAGGGUCAUUGGAAACUGGAAAACUUGAGUGCAGAAGAGGAAAGUGGAAUUCCAUGUGUAGCGGUGAAAUGCGCAGAGAUAUGGAGGAACACCAGUGGCGAAGGCGACUUUCUGGUCUGUAACUGACGCUGAUGUGCGAAAGCGUGGGGAUCAAACAGGAUUAGAUACCCUGGUAGUCCACGCCGUAAACGAUGAGUGCUAAGUGUUAGGGGGUUUCCGCCCCUUAGUGCUGCAGCUAACGCAUUAAGCACUCCGC
rnacentral:rRNA from 7 species